GACGAACGCUGGCGGCGUGCUUAACACAUGCAAGUCGAGCGGAAAGGCCCUUUCGGGGGUACUCGAGCGGCGAACGGGUGAGUAACACGUGAGUAAUCUGCCCCUGGCUUUGGGAUAGCCACCGGAAACGGUGAUUAAUACCGGAUACGACCACUUCUCGCAUGGGAUGGUGGUGGAAAGUUUUUCGGCCAGGGAUGUGCUCGCGGCCUAUCAGCUUGAUGGUGAGGUAAUGGCUCACCAUGGCUUCGACGGGUAGCAGGCCUGAGAGGGUGACCGGUAACACUGGGACUGAGACACGGCACAGACUCCUGCGGGAGGCAGCAGUGGGGAAUAUUGGACAAUGGGCGGAAGCCUGAUCCAGCAACGCCGCGUGAGGGAUGACGGCCUUCGGGUUGUAAACCUCUUUCAGCAGGGACGAAGCGCAAGUGACGGUACCUGCAGAAGAAGCACCGGCCAACUACGUGCCAGCAGCCGCCGUAA
rnacentral:rRNA from 1 species